GUGGGGAAUCUUAGACAAUGGGCGCAAGCCUGAUCUAGCCAUGCCGCGUGAGCGAUGAAGGCCUUAGGGUUGUAAAGCUCUUUCGUGGGGGAAGAUAAUGACUGUACCCCAAGAAGAAGCCCCGGCUAACUCCGUGCCAGCAGCCGCGGUAAUACGGAGGGGGCUAGCGUUGUUCGGAAUUACUGGGCGUAAAGCGCACGUAGGCGGACUGGAAAGUCAGGGGUGAAAUCCCGGGGCUCAACCCCGGAACUGCCUUUGAAACUCCCAGUCUUGAGUUCGAGAGAGGUGAGUGGAAUUCCGAGUGUAGAGGUGAAAUUCGUAGAUAUUCGGAGGAACACCAGUGGCGAAGGCGAAUUGCUGGACAGUAACUGACGCUGAGGCGCGAAAGCGUGGGGAGCAAACAGGAUUAGAUACCCCUGUAGUCC
rnacentral:rRNA from 1 species